rnacentral:rRNA from 1 species
GAUGAACGCUGGCGGCGUGCCUAAUACAUGCAAGUCGAGCGAACAGACGAGGAGCUUGCUCCUCUGACGUUAGCGGCGGACGGGUGAGUAACACGUGGAGAACCUACCUAUAAGACUGGGAUAACUUCGGGAAACCGGAGCUAAUACCGGAUAAUAUAUUGAACCGCAUGGUUCAAUAGUGAAAGACGGUUUUGCUGUCACUUAGAGAUGGAUCCGCGCCGCAUUAGCUAGUUGGUAAGGUAACGGCUUACCAAGGCAACGAUGCGUAGCCGACCUGAGAGGGUGAUCGGCCACACUGGAACUGAGACACGGUCCAGACUCCUACGGGAGGCAGCAGUAGGGAAUCUUCCGCAAUGGGCGAAAGCCUGACGGAGCAACGCCGCGUGAGUGAUGAAGGUCUUCGGAUCGUAAAGCUCUGUUAUUAGGGAAGAACAAAUGUGUAAGUAACUAUGCACGUCUUGACGGUACCUAAUCAGAAAGCCACGGCUAACUACGUG